GUCUAGUGCAGGGCCGGCUGGACGCCCCAGAGGCCGGACCUGGGUAACCCGGGCCUGGAGGUGCCUGGUCUCAGGCUCCCAGAGGGCUGGGAGCGAGGGCUGGGCGGAGCCACAGUGCCAGGUUCUCGGGGAAAGAGGGGCUGCAGCCCCGGCGCCCGGAGUAAAACCGAGCCCGCUCAGAGUGCCACGUCUCCAGGAACCCCCCUCCUUACUCUUGGACAACACUCCGCCUCCGCCCCGGACUCCGUCCCCCAACCACCCCAUGAGUGCUGGAGAGCCUCUGGAUACAUCCCUAGGGAUCGAUGUCUUUAUCCGGCCCACUCAGCCGUCAGACCUCAACCUCCCCCAGCAGGCUGAGUUCCAACUCCGGCCUGCACCCCAAGGGCGCAGCCUGUGCCCUAAAUCUGCCUGCUGGUCUAAGAGGCGCUGGUCCUCCUUCCGGUCGCCGUGCAGUGGAGACCAGGCUU
rnacentral:lncRNA from 1 species